UUAAUUCGAAGCAACGCGAAGAACCUUACCUAAGCUUGACAUCCCAAUGACAUCUCCUUAAUCGGAGAGUUCCCUUUGGGGACAUUGGUGACAGGUGGUGCAUGGUUGUCGUCAGCUCGUGUCGUGAGAUGUUGGGUUAAGUCCCGCAACGAGCGUAACCCUUGUCUUUAGUUGCCAUCAUUAAGUUGGGCACUCUAGAGAGACUGCCAGGGAUAACCUGGAGGAAGGUGGGGAUGACGUCAAAUCAUCAUGCCCCUUAUGCUUAGGGCUACACACGUGCUACAAUGGGUAGUACAGAGGGUUGCCAAGCCGUAAGGUGGAGCUAAUCCCUUAAAGCUACUCUCAGUUCGGAUUGUAGGCUGAAACUCGCCUACAUGAAGCUGGAGUUACUAGUAAUCGCAGAUCAGAAUGCUGCGGUGAAUACGUUCCCGGGUCUUGUACACACCGCCCGUCACACCACGGGAGUUGGAGACGCCCGAAGCCGAUUAUCUAACCUUUUGGAAGAAAUCGUCGAAGGUGGAAUCAAUAACUGGGGUGAAGUCGUAACAAGGUAGCCGUAUCGGAAGGUGCGGCUGGAUCACCUCCUUUCUAAGGA
rnacentral:rRNA from 1 species